CUCUUGAGAGCGGCGGACGGGUGAGUAAUGCCUAGGAAUCUGCCUGGUAGUGGGGGAUAACGUUCGGAAACGGACGCUAAUACCGCAUACGUCCUACGGGAGAAAGCAGGGGACCUUCGGGCCUUGCGCUAUCAGAUGAGCCUAGGUCGGAUUAGCUAGUUGGUGAGGUAAUGGCUCACCAAGGCGACGAUCCGUAACUGGUCUGAGAGGAUGAUCAGUCACACUGGAACUGAGACACGGUCCAGACUCCUACGGGAGGCAGCAGUGGGGAAUAUUGGACAAUGGGCGAAAGCCUGAUCCAGCCAUGCCGCGUGUGUGAAGAAGGUCUUCGGAUUGUAAAGCACUUUAAGUUGGGAGGAAGGGCAGUUACCUAAUACGUGAUUGUUUUGACGUUACCGACAGAAUAAGCACCGGCUAACUCUGUGCCAGCAGCCGCGGUAAUACAGAGGGUGCAAGCGUUAAUCGGAAUUACUGGGCGUAAAGCGCGCGCAGGCGGUCCUUUAAGUCUGAUGUGAAAGCCCACGGCUCAACCGUGGA
rnacentral:rRNA from 1 species